rnacentral:rRNA from 1 species
CCUACGGGUGGCAGCAGUGAGGAAUAUUGGUCAAUGGACGCAAGUCUGAACCAGCCCUGCCGCGUGCCGGAUGACGGCUCUAUGAGUUGUAAACUGCUUUUGUACGAGGGUAAACGCAGAUACGUGUAUCUGUAUGAAAGUAUCCUACGAAUAAGGAUCGGCUAAAUCCGGGCCCGCAGCCCGGGUAAUACGGAGGAUUCAAGCGUUAUCCGGAUUUAUUGGGUUUAAAGGGGGCGUAGGCGGUCGGAUAAGGUAGAGGUGAAAUCUCUAGGCUCAACCCCGGAAUUGCCUGUGAUACUGUUGUGCUAGAGAGUAGUUGCGGUAGGCGGAAUGUAUGGUGUAGCGGUGAAAUGCUUAGAGAGCAUACAGAACACCGAUUGCGAAGGCAGCUUACCAAGGUACUACUGACGUUGAGGCACGAAAGCGUGGGGAGCAAACAGGAUUAGAUACCCUGGUAGUC